ensembl:lncRNA
UUUUUUUGUUUUUUUAGUAAGUGCCCAUUAGACAAAUGCAGUAGGUUUUCUUUAGUUGGAGUAUGUGAUAAAAAAAUAUUUCCACUGGAGAGGACAUGCAGUGUGGAAUUCAUCUUUUUAUGUGGCACAGACUUUUUUCAUGUGUUUAAACUUAGAACAGUGUGAUCAGUUUGCUGUGACUGCAUUUAUGUUAAAAUUGUAGGGAUAGCAAAUAGCACUAUUCAUGUUAAAAACUAGAUUGUUAGAUGCUAAAAACAAUUAUGACCCUCUUGAAAUAAUGCAUUUGCCUCAAACACUGUGAUAUAGGAACAGUUCUGUGAAGUGGAAGAAUUAAUUCAAUUAAUUUAUUCAUUCUAAACACAGAAAAGGCUUUCUGCACACUACCACAAGAAAGCUCAUGUUCAAACUUUAGGUUAUGUAUCCCAAUCUAGCAAAGGCACAUCAUAACUCUUGUUUUGCUUUCUGACCAAAAACUGUGCUCGAUUGUAAUACGGGUGUAUACUCUGUCAAAAACCCUAAAAUAAUGGACUGCUUUCUAGGGUAGAUCAAACUGAUUUGUAGAGUAGUUUCAUAUAUAUAUUCAAAAUUCAGGUUGGGCUGUUAUGUGAAGAAGAAAGAACUUCAAGGUAACAACAUUCAACUUUACUACAUUUAGUGAGCUGAAAAAUUUGUUUUAUAUAUAUAUAUAUUUACACACACGUAUAUAUAUAUAUGAUACAUAUAAACUAUCUUUGUAAAAAAACAAAAAAAUAUGCAAGUGCAAUAAUUUAAAGAGGUCUUAACUUUGCAUUUAUAAAUUAUAAAUACUGUACAUGGUGUGUAAUUUUUUUCAUGUAUUCAUUUGCAGUCUUUGUAUUUAAAAAACAAACCUAAACCUUUACUAUUACGUUUGUACAAUAGAACAGUAAGCAUUUAUUAUGAUAUAGUUACGUUGUAAAUAAAUUCACAAACCAAACAGCCAGUACAUAUGCAUAUAUGGGUGUCCUAUUGUGAAGCCUGUUUUUGCUUUUACUGCUGGCUUUAGCACAGCAAGACUACUUCUGUGGAUAUGUAAUUAUACAUAUAAAUAUAUGUAUGAUACAUAAAAUAUAUUUAGAAAUGUUCAUAAUUUUAAUGGAUAUAUCUAUACAUAUACUUUGGUGUGAAUAUUACUGAAUACAGAGGUUUUUAAUAUUAUUUUUCAUGUUUAUUUUGCUAUUAUUGGGAGUGGAAGUGAGGGAUGGGAAGUGUGUGUGUGUAUUAUGUGUGUUUAUACCACAAGUAAACCACAGGAGAAAGGGAUUCAAAACAUAAUGGAGUCCUUUAAAAAGAUAGUGCCUGUAAUUGCAAUUUACUGCUUAUGGUGUGUUUUCCCAACAUAAUUUUUUUUCUUUUUUUUUUUUAUUACUUAUUGCAAAUUCACGUUGUCACAGACUGCAAAGGAAUCCACUUUGCUGUUUGCCCUCCUGCUCUCAGAGAGCUUACCUUGCUGUUGACAGCUACUUCCACACAGAUCCUUGCUUUGCCAAUGUCAAAUGGCAAGGCAGCUAAUGCGGAAUCAUUUGCUACCUUUUGGAAUCAUGGAGAUCCUGAGAUACUGAAUUGUAGAAAAAUAAUCCUGCACCCAAAUCUUUAAGGUUUGCUAGUCCAAAGUGAUAUAAGGCUUUGAUAGCUCCCAAUAUCCUGAAAAUACAAGGUAGGUUGAGGGAACUAUAAAGCAAAAUUCUGAACAACGUAUUAGCAGAUAUUUAUAAAAUAGGAGGAAAAAAAUGAGGAAAGAAGUGUCUGUGUGCUUAUCUACCUAAUAUAUUGAUUUGCUUCAAAGAUCUCUCACACUGUUCAUGCUUGGUAAACAGGGUAUUGGCCAGGGUGGCCUUGUGUCUUUAUAUGACUCUUCAUGACCCUUCUGUUCUCAAAGAUGUUGAGCCUGGGAUAGAGUUCAACCUGGGCUCUGUCUCUAGUUACUCACUAUGGCCUCCAAAUUUCCCUGGUCUGCCUCUUCACUGAAGGAAUGCAGCAUUGCUAGGAUGACUUGACCAGAAACAAGUUUCCAGGGCAACUGGUUCAGUUUAACUACUGCAUGCAGUUGUCAAAUACAAUUAUUACAAAAUAUACCUGGGUCUGUGCUGUUGUGACCAGCCCACCCAGAAAGCUCCAUUUGCUGCAAGGGAUGUGCUGCUAGGGCUAACUUUAGUGAUGAAAUGGAAACUGCACUGACUUCUAAUGCAUUUUUUAGGAUUUAUUCAUUUAAGUUAAAACUUCCCAAAUUAUUUUGAGGGACGAGCAAUAGAACAGGAAUGUUUUUGUGAAUGCUAUUAAUUUGGUCCUUUCCACCUGUUUCUGUAUUGUUGGCAAGGAGCUGUAGGCUGAAGUCGAUUAAUGACUCUCUGAUCAAACUUUUCAAAUUGGUCACAGUCAGUCACAUACCUUUUUAUAUUUUUCUGCUUGACAUGCUCUUGUAGCACACCACAGUGCUUUGCCAUUGAUGGUCACUGCCUAGUCAAUAUGUUUCCUUAACAUUUUUAGUACUUUGUUAUUGAAAAGUGCCACCAGAGACUUAAAAAAAAAUCAACCCUUAAAUAUAUUCCUAUUUUUUGAAGAUAUAAAUGAAAAAGGACCUUAACUGAAGCUCAUCGAAGUUUGGGGAGGAAAGGAGUAUUUCUCUUGGUUUUGAGGACUUUUAAUUUAGGCUUGUUUGAAAGUAUCCAAGUGCUCUGUAAGAUGAAGUGCUCAUUUGAGUCAGUUGAAAAGGACAGAGACUUCAAUGGAUUUCACCUGCUCAACAGCUGUUGGAGGUUACCAUAUUAUACUUAUUUUGCUUAAGACAAUUACUAAGGAGAAAUUCCUCUUCUUCAAUAUGUAGUCCCUCCUCCUUGAAUUAGGAAGAAAACUUUAUUUCAGUGUGUUUCAGUAGUGCUCUAGAAAAACCUACCUGCACUGUGCACGUUGCUUAAGAAGAUGAAGGUCUUUGCCUCUGCGUCAAGGAAGAGUUGCAGAGCAAUGCUUCAGAAGGUGGUUGGUAUGUGUGCAUGAGACUUGUUGUUUAAAAGUCUUCUAAAAUAAAGGGGAAACCUGAGACUCAAGAACUUUGGAAAGAAUGAAUUAUACCAGGUAAAGUUUUCCUUUGAUGUUCUUUUGGUUUGUAACAUUGCUGGAAUGAUUGAAUGGUUUUCACCAUAGUGUCUGUUAACUGACAUUAAUUAUUCAGCUGGCAUUAAUUACUUUUUACAGCAAUGUAAACAUUGUGAAUAUAGGUGAGAUGUUUGUAAAGCUACUUCUGUUUCUUGAGCUGUAUUUAUGCUGCUUAUGGAAGCAGCGUAAGUCCUUAAUAAAUACUAUUUAAUAUGCAUAUGGAAAUGAAAAAAUAGGGCUUGCGGGGGGAGGGGGGGGGGAAGCCAAAAAAGAAACUUUUGGAAGCACCUCAUUGAGUCAGGAUCUGUUAGAAGCCUUUGAAAAUUUUGCCAUCAAUGUCAGUAGCAGUGGUGGAUGUGGUGCUGUGCUGAAUAUGCGUAGUUUGGAGUUCAUGCUGGUGGACAAGUUGAUCAUAAAGAAAAGAAAGUGGUAUGGUAACUAAUGCUAGUUUUCAACUAGUAAAGUCCAAGUUUUUUUCUGCUGCUCACCUGGGGAGAAAAUAUAUGUAUUCAGUAUCAGGCGUAUUUUACAUCCCGUGACAAAAAAACCCCACCUUAUUGAAAAAGUGAUUGGUCUGGGAAAGAGACCACUGACAUGUGCCUUUCCUCUUAACAUGAAAAUGCACUGAAGCUGUCAGAAUAGUAUUUACAAUACAUUUGGAAAGACAGUGGACAUCUGUUAAGAUGCUACUUACGGGUUUGAGGGCACAAAGUGACAGAUUUCCAUUAUAACCUUGUGCAAGUUGCCCAGCACUGGAUGUUUUUGGGUUUUGUUAACUUAUGCAAGCCUCUAAACAAUUUCUAUGUUAUGCAUGUUUGGAAAUAUCCCUCCAGAAUUCUAAAUACAUGUAGAGGCAGUCAGGUAGUCACCUUAUAAUACGUAUGAUGGUGUUCACUUUCCUAUCAGGUGAGGACAAAUAUCACAGAGCUGUGAUGCUGCUAGUGAGUACUGUGGAUGAGUACCUCCUUUUCCAUCAUCUCCAAAUGUAAGGGGACAGUUAAGAAAUUACAGUGUGAACUUUCAAGCUAUCAUAUGUAGUU